rnacentral:rRNA from 1 species
GACGGAGGGGACUAGCGUUGUUCGGAAUAACUGGGCGUAAAGGGUGCGUAGGCGGUUCUUUAAGUAAGGCGUGAAAGCCCUGGGCUUAACCCAGGAACUGCGCUUUAAACUAAAGAACUAGAGGAUGGAAGAGGAAAGCGGAAUUCCUAGUGUAGAAGUGAAAUUCGUAGAGAUUAGGAGGAACAUCAGAGGCGAAGGCGGCUUUCUGGUCCAUAUCUGACGCUGAGGCACGAUAGCGUGGGGAGCAAACAGG